rnacentral:lncRNA from 1 species
AAACAUACAAGCUUCAUAUUACAAGCCAGGUACCUCAAGGGCUAGAAUACAGAAGCUCGAUAAGCACAUGAGUCAGCGGAAGCAACAAAUAUCUGAGUACAUACAUUAAACAUGAGGUGCCUUAGAUAAGGCUAGCACAAAAGAUACACGAUCGAACGAGGCGAGGCCUCUUACCUGGGAGCCUCCUAACUACUCCUGGUCUUCAGCGGCCUCCACGUAGUAGUAGGCACCGUCAGGGUAGCAGUCGUCAUCGGCGGGAUACUCCAUCUCCUGGGCUCCAUCAUCUGGUCGCAGCAACGGAUCGAGGGGACAAAGGGGGAGCAAAGCAACGAUGAGUACUCAUCCAAAGUACUCGCAAGACUUACAUCAGAACUAUGCUAAGUAUGCAACAAUAUCAAAGAAAGGAGUCUAUAUGUGGACUGACUUCAUCAAUGCGAGAAUAGAGAGAGAAGGCCUAGUCCUAUCGAAGAAUAGCAUCUUCAAGGGUCUUGCAGCAAUAGACGAGAGUAGAACAGGUAACACAAUUAAAUAGUCAUAUUGUUGCAGCAAUAUUAAUAUGAGGUCAUGCCCAGAGAUUCUCCCUCGACUCCCUGCGAGGAAGCAAUCCAAGAGCAACUAUUCCAGUUAAGUAAUAGUUGUAGUUGUAUAAGAUCAGGGCACAACUCCAAGUCGUCCUGUAACCAUGGACAUGGCUACCUGAAUAGUUAAUUUUCAUCCCUGAGGGGUGCACAAAGUUUCCAGUCAUGCUUGAUAACACUCUGUCCGGAUACACUUUUCUGGGUCAUGCCCGACCUCGGAUUAUCGACACGUCGCAACCCCACCUAAGCUCAACGGAGAGGCCAGCCCGACCGUCUAAAUCCUAAGCACAAAGGGGUCGUGGGCCCACUUGCCCUCUGCGCUCCUGCAAGAUGCAAGGGCGGCCGAUGUUAGUCCUAGCACCUCUUAAUACAAGCGUGAUGCAUCUUGGGACCACUCGGGCGCGCGCCGCUCCAUUGCUGACGUCUGAAGAGCUUUGGCUGAUACCACGACACCGAGUACCCAUAACUUCUCCCACGUAGCCGGUUAGUGCGAAAAGGUCUCCGACCAACCCAGAUCAAAUACCCAAAUCCAUUAACAUUUUUAAUUAAGUCAUCGACACAUCCACGCGGGAAAUCCACCCGCCUAACAUCUAUUAAUCAAAGAUCCCAGUAACAUUGUCGAGUAACUGUGUGGUUGUAACAUCAGGGGGAAUCCGAGGUAUCACCCUCGUUGGAUCCCGUACGAUGUAACCGUCAAGGUGGACUUAGAGGAAUCACCCUUGAGGGUACCACACUUGAGGGGUUGCACGACAGAGUCAUCGUUGGGAGUGGUGAAGGAGGAAUCGCCAUCGAUAACCACGACCGACUAGCUGUACUACACGGAUAUCAUCCUGAGUACUUCGCGAGGUGUCACCCUCGGUACCCAAUAGUAUCUCUGUAGCGUCGCACAACUAAGGGGGGUGUAAGUGUUGUGUCUGUUCUGGCUCGUAGAUCAGGAAUCGAGACUUGAUGACAAAGCGGGGCAACUGGACUAAGGGGUCAGAGCCACCUGUACUAAACAAUUAUAAAGUACGGUACUGAAAGUACUAGUUCUUCAAAAUUAGGCUAUGCAUCAUAUAUAGGAGGUAACUACAACAGUAGCAAAAUUCUAAUGCAAGCAUGAGGGAGAAAGAAUAGGCGAUAUAGGAAUGAUCAAGGCGGUUUGCUUGCCUUGUUGCUCUGCGACAAAGGGCUGGUCAUCAGGAGGGUAGAUGUACCCGGCAACACGGUCAGUCUCGGGGUCUACCGGUAAGAAGAGGGGGAGAAAUAAUAAAUACAAAGCACGGAUGCAACACUAAGCAUGACAUGGCAAAAUGCAUGCUAGGCAUGAGCUAACAUAGUAACAUCCGUCAUAGACGGAUCGGGAAAUUAUCGGAUGAUACUUCCCGGGUGUGUGGCUACUACCAGUCAGAUGAAAACGAUGGAAAAGUUCCACGUUUGCUAUGCUAGCAACGCGAGACAGACGAACGAAUAGCGUAUCCGGGUUCGUCUCGUUCUACUAAUCAACUUUCGUGUUGAAAAUAUUUUCAUCUCACCUACAGUUUAUUUUAUAUUAAUUUUCAAAGUUUUAUUAAUAUUUAGGAAUUAAAACAGAUUUUAUUAAUUCAAUUAAAUGCAAUUAUGACAUCACCAGUCAACAGGGGCUUUACUGGUCAAACUCACUAGUGGGUCCCAUGUGUCAUACACAUUUAUUAAUUAAGGUUUUAUUAAUACUAACCACGUUAUUUAGUGGGGUGGGACCCACCAAUCAUACUGUUAUAGGUUAAUUUAUUAACAGAAUUAAUUAACAACUUUAUUAUUUUAUCUAUUUACUCUUAUUCAUAUUAAUAAUACCUAAUUAUCUAAUUAAUUAAAUUACUAAUCAAAUAACUUAACUAAAUAUUUAUUUAUUUCUUAUUAAACGUUUUAUUCCCAAAGGGCGUUUGUGGGGCCUCCGUGUCAGUGGGAGUGGGGGGAGGGGUUGGCCCCACAUGGAAGUGGCCCAUCAGCCUCUCCACAACACAACACAACACAACACACAAAUCUGUACACACAAAUUUACUCAUACAGACAUUUUUACAUACAUAUAUCAUGUCGUACAUACAUACCCUUGCACAUACAUACACACAUAUAUAUAAAUACUAUUUCUUUUUCAUUUUUUUCUAAACCAUCUCAGGGGCUAAUCCCCUCUGUCCAACAAGAAGAAACGAGGGGCAUGGUGGAGGCCGUUGGCCGGCAGUGGCCGUAGCGGGCACGGCGGCCGGAGUUCGCCGGAGUGGGAGAAAAUGGGGAGAAGGGGAGAGGCCGGAGCCCAGAGGUUCACCGACGUUGCCGGGGAUGCCGAGGCUUGGGGAGGACCGGUGAGGGAGAGGCGGCGGUCGGCGGUGGUGCGUUGGAGGAGGUCGGGGAUGGUGCAGUGGUGGUGUGGCUCCGGCACGGGGGCGUGGCGGCCGGAUGGAGGGCAGGUGCAGCGGUGGUGGCCGGCGGCGCAGCGUCGAUGUGGCGGCGGCUGGCGG